rnacentral:rRNA from 1 species
CAUUAUUGAUUGCGAAUGGUUGUCUGCAGUGCUGGCCGGGUCACUCUGGCAAGUGCACGUAGACAGCUUUCAUCCAAUACCCUUGUGCACCUUUGGCCUCUUGCCAGCUUCGGCUGGCAGAGGAUUUUUACACCCACUCGAAUGUAAUGAAAUUACUGUUGUGCACACGCACUACUAUAUACAACUUUCAACAACGGAUCUCUUGGCUCUCGCAUCGAUGAAGAACGCAGCGAAAUGCGAUAAGUAAUGUGAAUUGCAGAAUUCAGUGAAUCAUCGAAUCUUUGAACGCACCUUGCACCCUUUGGUAUUCCGAAGGGUAUGCUCGUUUGAGUGUCAUUGUACUCUCACACUUCCGAUCGUUUGGAUCGGGAGCGGUGGACUUGGGUGUUGCUGCUUACCGUGGCUCACCUUAAAUGCAGUAGUGCACCUUUCGGUUGGACAUAGUACGGCGUGAUAAGCGUCUUCGCCGGCACCUCUCUGAGGGUGGCCGAUCGGGAGCUCUGUGCUUCCAAUCGUCUUCGGACAAUGACUGACAACUUG